GCUCCCUUCCAGCUUCAUGGGCAAAGUGUGGAAACAGCAGAUGUACCCUCAGUACGCCACCUACUAUUACCCCCAGUAUCUGCAAGCCAAGUUUGGAAGGCAUUCGGGCAUACCAAGUAAAAAGGAAGAGUGAAGAACAGAAAAAUGUUAGUGGGAUGGCAAACACUGUGAACAUUGCUGUUUCUAGUGGGCCAGAAAAAUCAGUCUCUGGUCCCAGCCCACCCCAUGGCCCCUCCCAGUCCUAGCACCACCAGCAGUAAUAACAACAGUAGCAGCAGUAGCAACUCAGGAUGGGAUCAGCUCAGCAAAACGAACCUCUAUAUCCGAGGACUGCCUCCCCACACCACCGACCAGGACCUGGUGAAGCUCUGUCAACCAUAUGGGAAAAUAGUCUCCACAAAGGCAAUUUUGGAUAAGACAACGAACAAAUGCAAAGGUUAUGGUUUUGUCGACUUUGACAGCCCUGCAGCAGCUCAAAAAGCUGUGUCUGCCCUGAAGGCCAGUGGGAUUCAAGCUCAAAUGGCAAAGCAACAGGAACAAGAUCCUACCAACCUCUACAUUUCUAAUUUGCCACUCUCCAUGGAUGAGCAAGAACUAGAAAAUAUGCUCAAACCAUUUGGACAAGUUAUUUCUACAAGGAUACUACGUGAUUCCAGUGGUACAAGUCGUGGUGUUGGCUUUGCUAGGAUGGAAUCAACAGAAAAAUGUGAAGCUGUUAUUGGUCAUUUUAAUGGAAAAUUUAUUAAGACACCACCAGGAGUUUCUGCCCCCACAGAACCUUUAUUGUGUAAGUUUGCUGAUGGAGGACAGAAAAAGAGACAGAACCCAAACAAAUACAUCCCUAAUGGAAGACCAUGGCAUAGAGAAGGAGAGGUGAGACUUGCUGGAAUGACACUUACUUACGACCCAACUACAGCUGCUAUACAGAACGGAUUUUAUCCUUCACCAUACAGUAUUGCUACAAACCGAAUGAUCACUCAAACUUCUAUUACACCCUAUAUUGCAUCUCCUGUAUCUGCCUACCAGGUGGCAAAGGAAACCAGAGAAAACAAGUAUCGGGGCUCUGCUAUCAAGGUGCAAAGUCCUUCUUGGAUGCAACCUCAACCAUAUAUUCUACAGCACCCCGGUGCCGUGUUAACUCCCUCAAUGGAGCACACCAUGUCACUACAGCCCGCAUCGAUGAUCAGCCCUCUGGCCCAGCAGAUGAGUCAUCUGUCACUAGGCAGCACCGGAACAUACAUGCCUGCAACGUCAGCUAUGCAAGGAGCCUACUUGCCACAGUAUGCACAUAUGCAGACGACAGCGGUUCCUGUUGAGGAGGCAAGUGGUCAACAGCAGGUGGCUGUCGAGACGUCUAAUGACCAUUCUCCAUAUACCUUUCAACCUAAUAAGUAACUGUGAGAUGUACAGAAAGGUGUUCCUACAUGAAGAAGGGUGUGAAGGCUGAACAAUCAUGGAUUUUUCUGAUCAAUUGUGCUUUAGGAAAUUAUUGACAGUUUUGCACAGGUUCUUGAAAACGUUAUUUAUAAUGAAAUCAACUAAAACUAUUUUUGCUAUAAGUUCUAUAAGGUGCAUAAAACCCUUAAAUUCAUCUAGUAGCUGUUCCCCCGAACAGGUUUAUUUUAGUAAAAAAAAAAAAACAAAAAACAAAAACAAAAGAUUUUUAUCAAAUGUUAUGAUGCAAAAAAAAAAAAAGAAAAAAAGAAAAAGAAAAAAAAGAAAGAAAAGAAAACUUCAAUUUUCUGGGUAUGCACAAAGACCAUGAAGACUUAUCCAAGUGCAUGACCGGAUUUUUGUGGUUUUGUUCAUUUUGUGUUUAAUUUGUGUGUUUUUUUUUUCCAGCUGUAUGAAAUGGGCUUUCUGAAGUUUAAAUAGUGCGACUUCACCCAUGGUGUUCUGUGCUUGCAGUGCGAGUGUUGCUGUAAUUCAGUGUUGCCGUCAGUGUCUCUUUUCUCAGCUUUCUGUCUUUCUUUCAACGUAGUGUGAAGUGUCUUAUCCUUUUCUAUGAAUUCCAAUUUGCCUUAACUCUUUUGAUGCUGUAGCUGUUUCAGUAAAAGUUAGUUCAAACUAAUGAUGUAGAAUGCUUUGACCAAAUGAGCUGGUCUAUUAUGCCUUGUAAAACAGCAGCAUAGGGCUUUUAAAAGGUAGUCAAUAAAAGUUGCUGAAAUUUUGGCUUUUUUAAAUAUGUAGUAGGUGUUUUUAAUGAUUUUUCACAUAAUGUGUAAGGUAGUGAAAUGCAAGAAGGGAAAAAUGUUUUGUGUGAAACACAUUUUCUGACUGGGGAACUUUUAUUAGGGUAAAUUGUUUGUAAGGCUGUACGCCAACAGUUUCCUCUGAUAGUUUGACUGAUUUAGGAUAUCUGCUGUAUGAUGCAAUGUAAAGUCUUUUGCCUUUUUUCAGGAAAAAAAAAAAAACUAACUUGAUGUACUAGAUUUAGUGUAGGUAGUGUUGGGGUUGGGGACGGGGGGGUAGGGGAGGGGAGUCACUGAAUGUUUUGUCCUUCCUUUAUACUAAUGAUAGUGCUUUAGAAUGAGAAUUAUGCCUGAAAUCUGGCAAAUCGAAAAAUGUUGCUAUUGCAACAAAGUGGCAAAAGCUAAAAGUAAGGAUUUAUCUUCAAACAUAAGCUGAGAUACGAAUAGAAGCAAAACGAUUGGCUACUAGCUCUCUCUCUCUCUAUUAGGUAAAUUUGAAAAAUAAAAAUGACUUGGCACUUUUAAAGGUAACUUCACCAAAGACCGAAGAGCCAGUAACCAGUAGCUCCAACUUGUCUCAGCAUCACAUCUUCUGUGCUCUUUAUUUUUGCCGGACCAGUUUGCGGUUAGGAGAAUGUGCCUUUUUUGUACCUUUGCAUUUAGGUUUUAUAAUUUUAAUUGAUGUAUGGACACACACAAACAAAAAAGCAUGAAGGAAGAUUUGGAUCCAAGCAGUGCCACACUUUACAUCAUCACUACAAGUGUUCAAGUGUAAAGAAAACCAAUUUUGAAACUAUGAAAUUCCUGAUUCAUAAAUACACAGUUAUUUCUACUUUAGUACAUAUAAGAUAAUUCACUGUUAUUAAAGCUCUUUUAUUAAGGCAAUUGCAUAUGUUUUAAAAGCAAUGGUAAAUUAAGUUGUCUUCCAAAACUGUGUACUUGUCUGGUCAGCUGUGUAUGAUCAGUUAUCUACCUCAGAGUCUAUUUUCUUUUGUGCUGGGACAGGUUGCUGGCCCUCCCUGUUUCCACAGACCAAAUCCUCCUAGCUCAGGAGCUAGGGCUAAGCAGUUAUUUCUUUCAAGUAUUUUUUAGUUCUUAAAUUUUAUGCUUGUAUUUGAUGACAGAUGUCAGUGACAUUUCAUAGUUUCAAAAGUCCUUGCUGCUCUGAGAAGUGUAGAUUCUAGUGAAAAUUACAUAGUCAUAAGAGAAAUGUGUUUUUGUUUUUGUUUUUGUUUCAUUUUUUAAAGUUGUGGUAUUAUUGGUUCUAUGCUCCCUGGAAUAUUACUGCUUUGUGAAAGUCCAGACUGAACGCAGCACCCUCUGUGUACCUAGUACAGUUAUAAACCUGGGUCUCUCACUACUUGAUAUUUUUGCAUUAGUUAAGACAGAAAUUUGAUAGCUCGGUUAGAGGGGAGGGGAAAUCUGCUGCUAGAAAUGUCUGAACUAAGUGCCAUACUCGUCUGGGUAAGAUUUGGGAAACAUAACCUCUGUACAUAAAAAAAAUCAGUUAAACAUCACAUAGUAGACAGCCAUUAAAUUAUAAAAAAAAUUAAUUUAUGAAGAAAGACCUUUUGUACAGAUUGAAAAAAAAGAUUUUCAUAGAGAUAUCUAUAUGAUCAAGAGAGUUAAUUUUUUAUUUUUGUUUUACUAGUGCCACAGACUUGCCAGUGGUAACUUAUUUGUCCGGUUCAAGAUAACUCUGUAGUUUUCUUUCCUAGGACUUGUUGUUAAACGCCAAAAGACAUUUUUGAACUGUACAUUUGAUCAGAUUGUUAGCUUUUCUGUUUUAUUUCUUUUGAGAACCUUUGAAUAAAAAACAUCUGAAAUUUUA
rnacentral:sRNA from 1 species